CUGGCGGCGUGCCUAAUACAUGCAAGUCGAACGGUCUUUCUAUGGAAGCUUGCUCCACUGAGAAGAUAGUGGCGAACGGGUGAGUAACACGUGGGUAACCUGCCCAUAAGAGGGGGGAGUAACAUCCGGAAACGGGUGCUAAUACCGCAUAGUUUCUUGAUCGCAUGAUCGGGAAAGGAAAGACGGCCUUUGUGCUGUCGCUUAUGGAUGGACCCGCGGCGUAUUAGUUAGUUGGUGAGGUAACGGCUCACCAAGACGAUGAUACGUAGCCGACCUGAGAGGGUGAUCGGCCACAUUGGGACUGAGACACGGCCCAAACUCCUACGGGAGGCAGCAGUAGGGAAUCUUCCGCAAUGGACGAAAGUCUGACGGAGCAACGCCGCGUGAGUGAAGAAAGGUUUUCGGAUCGUAAAACUCUGUUGUCAGAGAAGAACAAGUUGGAGAGUAACUGCUCCAGCCUUGACGGUAUCUGACCAGAAAGCCACGGCUAACUACGUGCCAGCCGCCGC
rnacentral:rRNA from 1 species